UGGGGAAUANUGUUACAAUGGGCGAAAGCCUGAUCCAGCCAUGCCGCGUGUGUGAAGAAGGUCUUCGGAUUGUAAAGCACUUUAAGUUGGGAGGAAGGGCAGUAAGUUAAUACCUUGCUGUUUUGACGUUACCAACAGAAUAAGCACCGGCUAACUUCGUGCCAGCAGCCGCGGUAAUACGAAGGGUGCAAGCGUUAAUCGGAAUUACUGGGCGUAAAGCGCGCGUAGGUGGUUCAGCAAGUUGGAUGUGAAAUCCCCGGGCUCAACCUGGGAACUGCAUCCAAAACUACUGAGCUAGAGUACGGUAGAGGGUGGUGGAAUUUCCUGUGUAGCGGUGAAAUGCGUAGAUAUAGGAAGGAACACCAGUGGCGAAGGCGACCACCUGGACUGAUACUGACACUGAGGUGCGAAAGCGUGGGGAGCAACAGGAUUAGAUACCCUGGUAGUCCACGCCGUAAACGAUGUCGACUAGCCGUUGGGAUCCUUUGAGAUCUUAGUGGCGCAGCUAACGCGAUAAGUCGACCGCCUGGGGAGUACGGCCGCAAAGGUUA
rnacentral:rRNA from 1 species